CUCGUAGGCGGUUUGUCGCGUCGGGAGUGAAAACCUACAGCUUAACUGUGGGCUUGCUUUCGAUACGGGCAGACUAGAGGUAUGCAGGGGAGAACGGAAUUCCUGGUGUAGCGGUGAAAUGCGCAGAUAUCAGGAGGAACACCGGUGGCGAAGGCGGUUCUCUGGGCAUGAUCUGACGCUGAGGAGCGAAAGUGUGGGAGCGAACA
rnacentral:rRNA from 1 species